GCCAUGGGAAGCAAACCUGGCUCUGUUUUCCUGUAACGUCUCUUCUGUUCCAAGCCUGAGCCCGUCUGGAUGCUUGAGGUUGCUCUGGUCACAGGGACCAAAGGCUGGAGGGAAAAGCGGUUCGUGCUGUGCUGGUGUUUAAUGCACUUACCUUGGGAACGACCCUGGACUGGUCCAUCAGCCCUCAGCAGCAUCAUAUUGAUGUUUUCUCCUAGUGCACGAAGGGUGCAGUUGAGAGCAGCAUGAAGUCAUCACACAAAACUCUUUUGCAAUUUAAAUGCAAUUUUAAUGCGAUUUUAAUGCAAUUUUAAUGCGAUUUUAAUGCAGUUUUUAAUGCCAAUUAAACACCUGCUAGAGGCUGUGUGGGCAGGUUUGAGGAAA